ACGCUCGACACCUACGGGAGCAGCAGUGGGGAAUAUUGCACAAUGGGGGAAACCCUGAUGCAGCAACGCCGCGUGAAGGAAGACGGUUUUCGGAUUGUAAACUUCUGUUCUUAGUGAAGAUAGUGACGGUAGCUAAGGAGCAAGCCACGGCUAACUACGUGCACAGCCGCGGUAAUCUGAGCGGGCGUGGCAAGGC
rnacentral:rRNA from 1 species